AGAGUUUGAUCCUGGCUCAGAACGAACGCUGGCGGCAGGCCUAACACAUGCAAGUCGAACGAACCUUUUAGGUGAGUGGCGCACGGGUGCGUAACGCGUGGGAAUAUGCCCUUAGGUGAGGAAUAACGUAGAGAAAUUUGCGCUAAUACCUCAUAAUGACUCCGGUCCAAAGAUUUAUCGCCUAAGGAUUAGCCCGCGUCAGAUUAGAUAGUUGGUGAGGUAACGGCUCACCAAGUCGACGAUCUGUAGGGGGUCUGAGAGGAUGAUCCCCCACACUGGUACUGAGACACGGACCAGACUCCUACGGGAGGCAGCAGUGAGGAAUAUUGGACAAUGGAGGAAACUCUGAUCCAGCCAUGCCGCGUGAGUGAAGAAGGCCUUAGGGUUGUAAAGCUCUUUCAAUUGCGAAGAUAAUGACGGUAACAAUAGAAGAAGCUCCGGCUAAAUUCGUGCCAGCAGCCGCGGUAAUACGAAUGGAGCAAGCGUUGUUCGGAAUCACUGGGCUUAAAGCGUAUGUAGGCGGACUGUAAAGUCAGGAGUGAAAUCCCGAGGCUCAACCUCGGAACUGCUCUUUGAAACUCACAGUCUAGAAUCCUGGAGAGGUUAGGA
rnacentral:rRNA from 1 species